UAUAUGCCCAUAUUUGGCUUUCGAAACAUGCCGCCAAUGGAGGUUGAGCUCAAAAACUGUGAAUUUGAUGAGGAAUGGAAAGAUGCCCACGGUGACAAUUGAGCAGGCCCAAAGGAACUUUUGCAAGGCUGUAAAAUCUGGUCUUCUUAAGAUUCUUUCAAAGAUGGGAAUUUCUUUGCUUUCCAGUUACUGUGGGGCGCAAAUAUUUGAGAUAUAUGGCUUGGGGCAAGACAUUGUUGACAUUGCUUUUUGUGGUAGCAUUUCAAAGAUAGGGGGACUAACUCUU